GCGCUUUGUAAAAACUCAUUACUUAAGAAAAGUAAAUUGCAAUUCUUCACAAUAUCUACCAGUUUUUUAACAAGUUCUGCGAUUUCCUAUUUCCGUUUGGCUUAAUUAUUUGUUUAUUGUUUUUUAAUUAAGACAACUACAAAGACAUUAAAAACAAAAGGAGAAUAGUUAUCACCGAAAGUCAUAAAAUAUGAUACUGGCUGCUAUAAGGAUCUCAAGUCGACAAUGUGUUGCGCAGGCGGGCGCGGGGGCCGAAAAUGGUAUGGCAUUAAAAGAAAACUGUGAAUCAUUGUUAUUUGCUGCGACUACAAAAUUUAAUUGUUUAAUGUUUUUUUUUUCAUUUGCGCUUGUUGUUGUUAUUUAUGUCAUUGCCUUGAGUUUGUAGUUGUGUUUGCUUUUAUUAUCGAUCUUGCUGUCCUGCCACAGCAGUGGUAAUUACAAAAGACCACUGCGCAGCUAACGUCUUUUGCAUUGUUGUUGUUUGCUGCAGCUGUUGUUUUUCUUAUUUUUGGUAUAGCUAAGCUGAAAGAAUUUUCGAAGAAACCGAAAAUCCGAAAACCAAGCACAAAUGACGAACACAUUGUCGUUAAAGUGCAGAUGAAGUGAAAAGACAAUGGCAGGAUAGCCAAGCCAUAAAAGAGAGGCAAGAAGACACACUUAAAAAUUUACUCACACAUACAUACAUAUAUGUGUGUGUUUUUGUAGUUAAAACAACAACAGCGCACAAACCAACUGCGAAGCUGCAGAACGCCAAAAAUUCAAUAAAGGUUUUUACCUGAGCCACCGUAGGUGAGAAACGCGACGAAAACGUAGUGUUGUGUAGAGCAAGAUAGUGAAGAAUGGCGUAGAUAUAAGAUUUGUGGUUAAAAGAAAUGCGCAUGUAUGCGUGUGAGUGACAAACGUUUUCGACAUAACAGUUGAAGUUGCCACACUCGGUCUCAAUGCUGCUGCUUAACAGCUGUGUGGAAGAUCGGGCGAAAUUCGCACAACAAAUUUGAGCUGUAUUUACGCUACUUGCCAACGUAUUUUUUGGAAUUUCGCCAAGUGGGUCGUAGUAACAAACACCAUACAGCCAGAUCAUACUGAGAUCACAACAACAAAAGCGAAAAAUAAACCAACAACAGUCUGUGCCUAAAAGAACACAUGUCGCCGCUGCCGAAAAGUUCCCCAAAAUCAAACCGGUUUGCAUUGUAGCAAAAAAAAUAAAAACACUACAACAAUAACAUCACGCGACACAAAAACCGAAACGAAGUUGAAAUGAAGUAAAAACGAAAUGAAAUGCCUACACAGAAGUUGAAAGCGAAGAAACAGGAAAAUCAGAAAUGUCGGGAAGCGAAGUAACAGUCGUACAUACUAUGUCUUGUUGUUGUUGUAUGUAUGUAUGCAUGUAUGCAUGUAUGCAUGUAUACAUGUUUAUAUGUAUGUAUAUCUGUAGCAUAAGUAAAAUGAAGACAGUUGUUGCGUAGCCUGAGCAUGCGCAAAGCCAGAAAACAAGCCAUACCAACUGUCUUCGGGCGCAACAGCGUUGUCUGCGCAUGAAAGCAAGCAACAAUAAGCAUAAGCAAAGCAGCAAAAUUAAAUAAAAAUAAUAAAAAUCAAA